rnacentral:rRNA from 1 species
GGGCCCGCACAAGCAAGCGGAGCAUGUGGUUUAAUUCGAAGCAACGCGAAGAACCUUACCUAGACUUGACAUCCCUUGCAUAACUCAGAGAUGAGUGAAGUCCUUCGGGACAAGGUGACAGGUGGUGCAUGGUUGUCGUCAGCUCGUGUCGUGAGAUGUUGGGUUAAGUCCCGCAACGAGCGCAACCCUUAUCAUUAGUUGCUACCAUUAAGUUGAGCACUCUAGUGAGACUGCCCGGGUUAACCGGGAGGAAGGUGGGGAUGACGUCAAAUCAUCAUGCCCCUUAUGUCUAGGGCUACACACGUGCUACAAUGGUGAGUACAAAGAGAUGCAAGACCGCAAGGUGGAGCCAAACUCAAAAACUCAUCCCAGUUCGGAUUGUAGGCUGCAACUCGCCUACAUGAAGCCGGAGUUGCUAGUAAUCGCGAAUCAGCAUGUCGCGGUGAAUACGUUCCCGGGCCUUGUACACACCGCCCGUCACACCAUGAGAGUUGGUAACACCCGAAGUCCGUGAGGUAACCAGUAAUGGAGCCAGCGGCCGAAGGUGGGAUCGAUGAUUGGGGUG